rnacentral:rRNA from 1 species
CGUUGUUGCAGUUAAAAAGCUCGUAGUUUAAAUGAAGGGUAGUUGUGUAAUGAAUACAUUCGUGUAUUUUGUUAUUCUACUACCCUCCUUCUAAAUUCGAUAUAUGAGUAUUAAUUUACUUGUAUAUGGUUUUAGACCUUUACUGUGAGAAAAUUAGAGUGUUCAAAGCAGGCAUUUGCUUGAAUAUAUUAGCAUGGAAUAAUCAUGUAUGAUUUUCAUGAUGUAUUUGAUUGGUUUGGUUCAUGAGAAUAAGAUUAAAAGGGACAGUUGGGGGUAUUCAUAUUCAAUAGUCAGAGGUGAAAUUCUCGGAUUUAUGGAAGAUGAACAAGUGCGAAAGCAUUUACCAAGGAUGUUUUCAUUAAUCA